AACGAACGCUGGCGGCAUGCCUAACACAUGCAAGUCGAACGAGACCUUCGGGUCUAGUGGCGCACGGGUGCGUAACGCGUGGGAACCUGCCCUUAGGUUCGGAAUAACUCCCCGAAAGGGGUGCUAAUACCGGAUAAUGUCUUCGGACCAAAGAUUUAUCGCCUUUGGAUGGGCCCGCGUUGGAUUAGCUAGUUGGUAGGGUAAAAGCCUACCAAGGCGACGAUCCAUAGCUGGUCUGAGAGGAUGAUCAGCCACACUGGGACUGAGACACGGCCCAGACUCCGAGGGGGGGCAGCGGGGGGGAAUAUUGAACAAGGGGCAAAGGCCUGACCCAGCAAUGCCGGGGGAGUGACGAGGGCUUUGGGGUUGUAAACCCUUUUUCCCCGGGAUGAUAAUGACAGUCCCGGAAAAAUAAGCCCGGCCUACCCCCGUG
rnacentral:rRNA from 1 species